UUCGUAUGGUAAAAAUUUUCA
rnacentral:piRNA from 1 species